UUCAAUUUUUGAAGUUUCUCUAGCUUUUUUGUUGGGUGAAAUCAGUAUAAGAAGCUUUUUCUUCUUUAAAAAUUAGUAGGAACUAAAAAACUUUGAUUUAAAACCAGGAUUAGAUACCCUGUUAUUCUCAGUUAUUCUUAAACAGGGUAGUAAAAGUUGUUCUUCAAACCCAAAGAUUUUGGCGGCACUUUAUCCAAAUAGAGGAGCUUGUCCCUUAAUCGAUAGUCCUCGUUUUAUCUUUCCUUCAUUUGUAAAGCUUGUAUACCGCCGUUGUCAGAUUACUUUUAGAGAACGUUUUCAAGUUAAAAGACUUUUUAACUUCAGGUCAAGGUGCAGUUUAUAUGGGGGUGGAGGUGAGCUACAGUUUCUUUUAGAAAAUACGGAUUCUAAGCUUUGAAGCUAGCUGAAGGUGGAUUUACUAGUAAAGUAA
rnacentral:rRNA from 1 species